CCUUGUAGCACCAAGAUUCCUCAUCCUUACAUCGCCCUUAAUUUGCAAUUUUACCCGUAGUUUAAGUAUUGUUUAGGUCCUAUUGAUGGCACACAUUUGAUGGCGCACGUGACGAAUCACAACAACGUCCCUUUUCGAGGCAAAAGCUCAACCCCGACACAAAAUGUGAUGUGCGUGACGAACUUCAACCUUUGUUUCACGUUUGUCUGUAGAGGGUGGAAGGGCAGCGCACACGACGCACGAAUUUUUACUGAGACAAUAAACGAUCCAACCAUGAACUUCCCAACGCCAGACGAAGGAUAUUAUUAUUUAGUGGAUUCAGCUUAUGGUUGCUACAAGGGAUUCCUGCCCCCAUAUCGAAACGAAAGAUACCACUUGGAAAACUUUCGCCGGGGUCGACCCCAACCCAGGACUGAUAAAAAGUUGUUUAACUACCGACACUCUUCACUACGAUCGACGGUGAAACGGGCGUUAGAGAUUUUGAAGAAUCGGUUCACGAUUUUGGAAAAUAUGCCCCCGUGCGCGAUACCGGACCAACGAAUAAUUGUGGUUGCGUGUUACUAUACACAACUUCAUCCGCAAGGACUGUGGGGAUAUUGAUCCAUUAUUCAGACACGCUCUACAACAACUAUACGGUGAAGCUUGGAUCGAUGUCUCACAUCAGGUUAAUAUGACAGGUGAAAUGCAUGUAACACUUAGACUACGAUCAGAUCAAUCACAGUCGAGUGCAAGGUACAUGGGGACAUAUCGGAAUACAAUGAAAAAUAGCAUGUGGGAGUGGGUCAAUAGGGCAUAAACGUCAACAAGUUCAAAGUUUGGGUAUUAGGUGAUGGAUAUGUUUGGUUGUAAUUUUAUAACAAGUAAUUUGGUUGUAAUUGUUUUGAUUACUUAAGUCUCUGAUA